CCAUCCUUUGAAGAAAGCGUAAUAGCUCACUGGUCUAGCUCCAUGGCACCGAAAAUGUAUCAGGGCUCAAGUGACUCACCGAAGCGACGAGACCUUGAAAGCUGCUUUUUCAAGUGUCAGUAGCGGGACGUUCUGUCAAUCGGGGAAGGUUUUUGGUGACAACACCUGGAGAUAUCAGAAGUGAGAAUGCUGACAUGAGUAACGAGAAAUCCUGUGAAAAACACGAUCGCCUGCCAGUGGAAGGCUUUCUGCGUUCAGUCAAUCUACGCAGAGUGAAUCGGUCCCUAAGGAACCCCCGAAAGGGCUGCCGUCCGAUGGGUACACGAAAGUGACGAAGUUGCUUUGACUACAGAACCAUGCCUGUCUGUUGGAGCGAAUUGGAUGAUCGGGCCGAGGGCUGCCCCCUCUUCCCCUCACUCUCCUUUCCCUAAUACGAACCUUGAGUCAUCAACGCCUUUCCGACUAGGCCUGGCCCGGCCGCCCUACGCGACUGGCGCUUCAAAAGGCGAAACUCUCGUCGUAGUUUGGCGACCUGGGCGGACACUUUUUGUUAUCUAAAGGCGAAGACUCUGAAGUGGGCGAACACUCGGCCCAGCGGGCGAACAUGCCGGGCUCCGGCUCCGCGCACCUGCUGACACCUUUCGAAGCACUUUUUAGUGUGCGCUUUAGUUUUAGAAUGUGUCGUUCAGCAUCACGAGUCUACAAGCCUUUCUCAUUUCAGUGCUCGCCUUUUGAAUCU
rnacentral:ncRNA from 1 species